AGGUGGUUCCAAGGACAACGUUCUGGUUUCAGUCUACCACAGCUCUCCCGUUCGGCCCAGGGUGAGGUGACCACCAGGCUCCCACAGCCAAAACAAUAAGCAGAGACCAAAAGGAAGUAAAACCUGGCUUUAUAUCACAUAAGGAGGGAUUGCAAAACUUUCCUAAAGACUUAUGUUGUGGGAAAAGGAAAACCCCUCAAAGGUACCUCCUGGUCAGAGCAGGACAUGAAGUGAUACAUUCACCCUUCCUCACAUUCCCUCUCUCCUGAAGGCCACAUUUAUCCACUUCCCCCUUUCUUGAGAGGAUGUGGGCUUAAAAGAAACUCUUGCGUGGAAGGGGAAGGUGACUCAAUAAGGGAGGAGAAGGAUCACAUGGUGGUAUUAAUGUCAUUACACACUCACCAAAGG